rnacentral:lncRNA from 1 species
GGCCACGUGACCUGGCGCGCCCCGCCUCCUCCACGGCUGGGCCGCCAUGUUGGGGCGGGGCCUGGACUUUCAGGGAGGGGCCCUGGGCCUUAUUCUGUGUUUCACACUGCAUGGUUCUGUUGAUGUCUCUCCCAUUACCUCACCUGCUGUGUUUGACCUUCAGUCCAUCACUAUGAAGGAUUCAAUUAGUGGCCAAGCGCUGCUGCUAACAAGAUAUUUCAGUUGUGAGCUGUUUGGGCCUCCCACUGAAGGUAGGUAGGUCUGUGUGUGCAUGUUUUCUUUUCAGACUGAGCCCAAACAUCUUUUGUUUUUUCCUUUUUUGCCAAAAAAAAAAAUAAAAAAAUAAAAAAAAAUAAAAAAAAUAAAAAAAAAUAAAAAAAAACCAAAACAAACAAAAAAAAAACAAAAAAAACCACACAACCCACACUGGAGAGAUUAAAAAAAAAAAAAUCAUUCCAAAGAUCCUGCUUUUUAAUCAUGAUGUGAAAUCUAGCAGUCCUUAAGGAAACUUAACGACAUAAAUAUCAAUAGAUCUCUCUCUCUGUGUUCGGGACGCUACAAAUGGGGUGGGUGUGGGAUACAACAGGAUUGCAUAGAGGAACUCCUUUCUCAAGAAUAAACAGUUCUGGAUUAGGGCUGUGGUGUUGGUUCCAGGAAUCUAUACAGGUGACAAAAUGGAAUAGACAUCCACACACAUCCACACUCACUGGUGAGGACAUGUAAAAGCUGAUAAAACCCAAAUAAGGUACGGAGUCUAGUUAAUUGCAUUGCACUCAGGUCGGUUUCCUGAUGUUGAACUAACAGUGUACUAUGGUUAGGGUAAGAUGGAAGCUGGGUGAAGGGCCCAUGGGACUCUCUGUAUUAUUUUUGUGAAUAUGUGUCCAGAGUUUUUUUAUUCAUUGAAAUACCAUAAACAUGUUUGAUAGACAAAUGACAGACCGAGAAGUCUCUGCACCCAAUAUGACACAGGCAUAUGGGGGUUCUUGCCAAUUAGGGAAGAGAUGAGCUUUUCCAACGGGAAAGCCGGCAAGCAUAUGCACAGGCAACCUCCAACAGUGCUGGGGACCCCCACACUCCACCAGUGGUGAAGAGUGGCCCACGUCACAGCCUGGAAGAAACCAAUGCCUCCACCUGCCGCCUCUGAGACCUUGACCUUCUGCCAACAGACACUUACUGUUUUGGAGUUGCCCAUCAUGCAUCCUCCUUCCUGUUGGCACCCCACUUCCAUUUCUGGGCCUCAUCGUCAGGGUAGGAAUGUGACCAACUGAAGUUAGGCCAAUGGAUGCUGUUUCGUGACAAUCUACUGAGUGAGUGAGGCAGGAGUAGAAUGUCCUGAUGAAGAGCUCCUGCUUUGAGACAAAUGCAGGUUUCUAGCUGCCAAGGCUCCUGGAGCAAACCCAGUGCCCUUUGCCACCUGUUUCUGUCCUCCUGUGACUUGUGACUAGUUUCCUCUUCCUCUUUAUUUCACAGUGGUUUAACUGAAAGACAUCUUAUUCCCAAGACUGAUUUUAAACAUUCCUUCGCUGAGCUUCCUACCUGUAAGACACACGGAGAUUGACGACAUUGUUCAGUUUGCAAUAUGGAUGACAAGGGGCUGAUUGCCUUCAUAUAUAAAGGGAGUCCACAAUUCAAUGAGGCCAAUAGGUCAAAAGAAAGGUGGGCGAUGAUUACUAGAAAACAAGAAUCUUAAAACAUGAAAAUAUUCCCACACAUGGAAGAAAUGGGAGUUCAAACGACAGUGAGAUGCUACCUUUGACCACUAAGAUUGGCAAUGAUAAAAAUAUUUGAUAG